UGUUCCCUUCUGACGAGCAGAAAUCCACACGCACACUCACACACCCAUGACUUCAAUGGCACAAGCUACACACAAUACAAGGACGCACGAUCUGAUAUCACCAAGUAAUUAAGAGUCCUGGAUCAAUGUGCAAGUUGUUUGUCCAGGGUCAAUGUCAUUUCCAACCAAUCAGCGGUCAUGUGUGACUGAUGAUGUCAUUUAGAGUGCGACGUGACAAUUUCAAACGGAAAGCGCGCUCAGAAAUGCUCAGAAGAAGCAGAACUAGCAAAACGGAGAGGUGCUACAGCAGUGUUCCUGACUGUUGCCGUGUAAUGACAUUUUCAAAGAAACAGGUAAGACUAUUUCUCGAAAAAAAUUAUAUCCUAUGUGCCAUCUCCACCGAAUUUCUCUAUUUUAAUCACUUUUAUUAUAUAAAUUUUUAUAUAGUAAGCAAAUUGUGUGUUGUUCGAUAUGAUCAGUCAGUAGGCUACACGGAGGUUACUGUUAGCUAGCAUGAAACGGCUAAGAGGGCUCUUUCCCGUUACAGUAUGUUCAAGAAUAACACAAAGACGUUAGGUCUCCACCGAAUUUCUCUAUUUUAAUCACUUUUAGUACUAUGUACAUUUUUAGGGGUAAGCAAAUUGUGUGUUCGAUAUGAUCAGUCAGUACACGGACGUUACUGUUAGCUAGCAUGAAACGGCUAAGAGUAUGGGGCUCUUUCCCGUUACAAUAUGUUCAAGAAUAACACAAAGACGUUAGGUCAGUGCAGCAAAGCCUACGUUCUUUAUUUUAUCUGUAAUGAUUUGUGCAUAAAAUUGACAAUAUGUCAGCAAAGAUUUCAAACCGGUUAAAACGGAAAGCGUUACGGAUCCAGGAUUAUUGUUCGUAACCAGUCCAGGACAAACACAUAGGCUACUCACUUUUCUCUUGCUAUAUUAAUCCAGGAUUAUUGUUUGUAAUAGGUCCAGGACAAACACACAUUCACUUGCCUGUCUCUGAUUAAGUAUUAAUCCAGGAUUGUUGUUAGUAAUCGGUCCAGGACAAACACACACUCACUUGCCUCUUAUUAAGUAUUAAUCCAGGAUUAUUGUUCGUAACCAGUCCAGGACAAACACAUACUCACUUUUCUCUUACUAGGCUAUAUUAAUCCAGGAUUAUUGUUUGUUAUCGUUCCAGGACAAACACACACUCACUUGCCUCUUAUUAAGUAUUAAUCCAGGAUUAUUGUUUGUAAUAGGUCCAGGACAAACACACAUUCACAUGCCUCUGAUUAAGUAUUAAUCCAGGAUUGUUGUUAGUAAUCGGUCCAGGACAAACACACAUUCACAUGCCUCUGAUUAAGUAUUAAUCCAGGAUUAUUGUUUGUAAUAGGUCCAGGACAAACACACAUUCACAUGCCUCUGAUUAAGUAUUAAUCCAGGAUUGUUGUUAGUAAUCGGUCCAGGACAAACACACACUCACUUGCCUCUUAUUAAGUAUUAAUCCAGGAUUAUUGUUCGUAACCAGUCCAGGACAAACACAUACUCACUUUUCUCUUACUAGGCUAUAUUAAUCCAGGAUUAUUGUUUGUUAUCGUUCCAGGACAAACACACACUCACUUGCCUCUUAUUAAGUAUUAAUCCAGGAUUAUUGUUUGUAAUAGGUCCAGGACAAACACACAUUCACAUGCCUCUGAUUAAGUAUUAAUCCAGGAUUGUUGUUAGUAAUCGGUCCAGGACAAACACACAUUCACAUGCCUCUGAUUAAGUAUUAAUCCAGGAUUAUUGUUUGUAAUAGGUCCAGGACAAACACACAUUCACAUGCCUCUGAUUAAGUAUUAAUCCAGGAUUGUUGUUAGUAAUCGGUCCAGGACAAACACACACUCACUUGCCUCUUAUUAAGUAUUAAUCCAGGAUUAUUGUUCGUAACCAGUCCAGGACAAACACAUACUCACUUUUCUCUUACUAGGCUAUAUUAAUCCAGGAUUAUUGUUUGUUAUCGUUCCAGGACAAACACACACUCACUUGCCUCUUAUUAAGUAUUAAUCCAGGAUUAUUGUUUGUAAUAGGUCCAGGACAAACACACAUUCACAUGCCUCUGAUUAAGUAUUAAUCCAGGAUUGUUGUUAGUAAUCGGUCCAGGACAAACACACACUCACUUGCCUCUUAUUAAGUAUUAAUCCAGGAUUAUUGUUCGUAACCAGUACAGGACAAACACAUACUCACUUUUCUCUAACUAGGCUAUAUUAAUCCAGGAUUAUUGUUUGUAAUUGUUCCAGGACAAACACACUCACUUGCCUCUUACUAAAUAUUAAUCCAGGAUUAUUGUUGGUAAUUGUUUCAGGACAAACAUUUUGAUGUAUUUUUUUAAGUUGUUUACUCCUCUUGUUAAGUAGUAUGACUUAUUUUUCCUGAAAUUUAGCAUUGUUUUUGCCAAGACAAAUACAAUUUGAUUUAGUCCAAUUUUAUUGUAUUUUUUUCCCCCCAGAGUUGCCCAGUGUUAAAGAUGGCAGAACUCUCCAUUUGGUCUCUCAAACACUGGUGAAGAUCCUGGAAAGCUCCUCUCGAGCCAGGAAUGCUUACUUUAGGAAGAUAAACAUUUUUAAGGAAAAGGUGAUGGUUGAGGCCUUUCUUGAGAAUGGUAACCACUGGAACCUUUUUGUAAGUAACUAUGUAAUAUACUGUGUCACAACCACCGGGCUCAAGGUAGCCGUGACAUUAAGGAUGGGGACCACACUGUAGCUAAAGGUUUUAAAUAUUAUAUUUAUUGAAACAUUAAAAAGGGUAAAGUCAGUAUAUGAUAAAGAAAAGUGUAAUGCAAAGUGUCUAGGGGUGAUCAAACAAAGAGUGUAAAAACGCGACGUCUAGGUGCAAGCUGGCAACGGGUUGCGGCUCUCCCCAGAGGAGCAGCCAUCGAGCGCAGAGAGCAGGCCCAAGCGAAGGGCAGAGAGCAGAGCCAAGACCAGAGAGAACGCGUCCAUUCAUCCUUGUUAUAUAGCACCACCCAUUACUCCAAACACCAAUGGGGUCCUUGCUCUGCAAAUCAGGGAAACAGAUUCAAGGGGCAGAGCCCACACAGGCAUUAGACCAGAGGGCGCAACCCCAGGACUGACCAGCAGGGUCUUAACAACUGUAUAUUAGUAAUUUAUUGAUCCAUACAAUUCAUGCCCAACUAAUACGUUUUCUUUUGUAUGCAGAUAUUACUGGGAAAAGAGUUAUAUAUAUAUAUAUAUGAACUCCCUUGGGGAAUCUAAAGAGAGGGUGGCGACCAUAGUUCAAAACUGGAGUUCAUUUGCUGAAUGAUGGGGAUGUCAUGGCCCCUGGACACCGGUAUCCAUAAAGCAUCCCCUGCAGAUAGAUGGGAAGUCAUGUGGCGUUCAUUUUGUUAUGUAUGCCCAGGCCAUAUUGACAGGGGAUGCUCUUCAGCAGAGCCGUGUUUUGGAUUUUGGACCCAUUAUGCAAUUAAGACAACAGAUGUGCAAGGAUCUCUUUAAUGCAACAGACAGAACACAGACAUGCAGUAACUGCCUGAACCCAGUGAGCACUGCAAACAAGGUUUGGGGAUCACCAAAGAAAUGGCAGAAAAAACAAAACAGACCCUCCACAAGAUGAAGGAAAAUGCCAACUCUACAUAUGAUGUUAAAGAGACCCUAUGCAACUUUCUGCAGGAGACGAUCGCUCUUUGUUACAUCUGGAAGUCUGAGACGAAGAACCACGCUUGCAAUUUAUAUAUUUAAAUAUAGCCUAUACAUGUAUAAAUAUACACGCUAAAGCUGUCGGGGAAGCUCUGCAGAGAAAAUGCAAGCAUAAAACGAGCGAAAACAAACAACGAAACCGAAACCAGAGAUGAAAUCGCCAGUCCUGCAUAGUUCCUCUUUAACUCAUCAUUUAGUUUAGAAACACACACAUUUGGGGCACAAGCCUUGAGCUUUGUCAUUGAGUUUUUCAUUGAAAAGGUAAACAACUUGCUUUAGAUUUUAUCAUUAAAAUCUAAUGAUAGCUUA